CAGAGACCUGAGGGAGAGAGCAGAGGAGAAAUCGGAGAGAAGGAGCGGUGGUUAAUAAGCAGAGAAAAUAGUGAAAAGGUUGAUUUUGCAGUUGAAAAACAUAACUUACCUGUUCAUGAACUGACGGGGAUUUCAUGAGAACCAAGCCACACCGGUUUUGGUCAGGUUUUUUGAUUGGUUUGAAGCUCGGUUGGAGCGAGGA